rnacentral:rRNA from 1 species
UAGAGGAUGUUUCGGGUGAGGCGCGGGUCUAAGUCCUUUGGAACAGGGCGUCAUAGAGGGUGAGAAUCCCGUAUGUGACCCGUGAUCAAGUCCAUGUGAAACCCCUUCGACGAGUCGAGUUGUUUGGGAAUGCAGCUCAAAAUGGGUGGUAAAUUUCAUCUAAAGCUAAAUACCGGCCAGAGACCGAUAGCGCACAAGUAGAGUGAUCGAAAGAUGAAAAGCACUUUGGAAAGAGAGUCAAAAAGUACGUGAAAUUGUUGAAAGGGAAGCGCUUGCAACCAGACCUGUCCGCAGGCGAUCAACCCUCGUUCUCGGGGGUGCACUCGUCUGUGAUCAGGCCAGCAUCGGUUCGGGCGGUCGGAUAAAGGCCUUGGGAAUGUAGCUCCUUCCGGGGAGUCUUAUAGCCCUCGGUGCAAUGCGGCCAGCCCGGACCGAGGACCGCGCCUUCGGGCUAGGAUGCUGGCGUAAUGGUUGUAAGCGACCCGUCUUGAAACACGGACCAAGGAGUCUAACAUCUAUGCAAGUGUUUGGGUGUCAAACCCAUACGCGUAAUGAAAGUGAACGGAGGUGAGAACCCUUAAGGGCGCAUCAUCGACCGAUCCAGAUGUCUUCGGAUGGAUUUGAGUACGAGCAUAGCUGUUGGGACCCGAAAGAUGGUGAACUAUGCCUGAAUAGGGUGAAGCCAGGGGAAACCCUGGUGGAGGCUCGCAGCGGUUCUGACGUGCAAAUCGAUCGUCAAAUUUGGGUAUAGGGGCGAAAGACUAAUCGAACCAUC